rnacentral:rRNA from 1 species
GCAAAACGCGAAGAACCUUACCUACCUUUGAAUCCACGGAAUCUCGCAGAGAUGUGAGAGUGCCUUCGGGAACCGUGAGACAGGUGCUGCAUGGCUGUCGUCAGCUCGUGUCGUGAGAUGUUGGGUUAAGUCCCGUAACGAGCGCAACCCUUGUCCUUAGUUACCAGCGAGUUAUGUCGGGGACUUUAAGGAGACUGCCGGUGAUAAACCGGAGGAAGGUGGGGAUGACGUCAAGUCCUCAUGGCCCUUACAGGUAGGGCUACACACGUGCUACAAUGGCCAGUACAAAGGGUUGCCAACCCGCGAGGGGGAGCUAAUCUCAAAAAGCUGGUCGUAGUCCGGAUUGGAGUCUGCAACUCGACUCCAUGAAGCUGGAAUCGCUAGUAAUCGUGGAUCAGAAUGCCACGGUGAAUACGUUCUCGGGUCUUGUACACACCG